rnacentral:rRNA from 1 species
UAACACGUGAGCAACCUGCCUUUCAGAGGGGGAUAACGUUUGGAAACGAACGCUAAUACCGCAUGACAUAUCGGUACCGCAUGGCACUGAUAUCAAAGGAGCAAUCCGCUGAAAGAUGGGCUCGCGUCCGAUUAGCUAGAUGGCGGGGUAACGGCCCACCAUGGCGACGAUCGGUAGCCGGACUGAGAGGUUGAUCGGCCACAUUGGGACUGAGACACGGCCCAGACUCCUACGGGAGGCAGCAGUGGGGGAUAUUGCACAAUGGGGGAAACCCUGAUGCAGCGACGCCGCGUGAGGGAAGAAGGUUUUCGGAUUGUAAACCUCUGUCCUCAGUGACGAUAAUGACGGUAGCUGAGGAGGAAGCCACGGCUAACUACGUGCCAGCAGCCGCGGUAAUACGUAGGUGGCAAGCGUUGUCCGGAAUUACUGGGUGUAAAGGGAGCGUAGGCGGGAAUACAAGUUGGAUGUCUAAUCUACCGGCUUAACCGGUAUUCGCAUUCAAAACUGUAUUUCUUGAGUGAAGUAGAGGCAGGCGGAAUUCCUAGUGUAGCGGUGAAAUGCGUAGAUAUUAGGAGGAACACCAGUGGCGAAGGCGGCCUGCUGGGCUUUAACUGACGCUGAGGCUCGAAAGCGUGGGUAGCAAACAGGAUUAGAUACCCUGGUAGUCCACGCUGUAAACGAUGAUUACUAGGUGU